rnacentral:lncRNA from 1 species
UUUUUUUUUUUUUAAAUCUGGAGACAACGUCUCCUGUUGGCCUCUGACUCUCAGUAUUCUUACCGUGUCUCCUGAGUGCAGGGAUUACAGACUUGUUCUAACACGCCCUGAUUCAUUACUUCACCUGUGGGUCUGCUUUACAUUCUCACCGAGACACAGAAGCAGUGGCACAUCCUAGUACUGGGAAGGCCAGUUUGGCAGCGAACCAGAUUCCCAAAUAUGUCACCACACACCAGGGGACUCCUGAUCUAUUUCCCUUCAAAGUCCCAGCUGAUGAAGGCACAGAGACAGUAGUUAGGGAACUGGAAUUCCACUUUCUACUCUCCCAAUGCCAGAAGAACUGGUUAAGGGUGUUUUGUGCCCUGGCUAACAGAGGGCUGCCUGAGGCCUGCCGAGGGUUAGUCGGGUCUCGACCCACUACCCUGCCUGCCUGCUGUGCCUCACCAGGCCCCCAGCACCCCGGGGGCUGUGAGACAGGGAGAAAGCAACAAGCUUAGCACUAUGGUACC